AUUGAACGCUGGCGGCAGGCUUAACACAUGCAAGUCGAACGAGUGGCGGACGGGUGAGUAAUGCUUGGGAAUCUAGCUUAUGGAGGGGGAUAACUACGGGAAACUGUAGCUAAUACCGCGUACCAUAGGAUGAGCCCAAGUGGGAUUAGGUAGUUGGUGGGGUAAAGGCCCACCAAGGCGACGCUCAGUAGCGGGUCUGAGAGGAUGAUCCGCAACACUGGGACUGAGCCACGGCCCAGACUCCUACGGGAGGCAGCAGUGGGGAAUGUUGGACAAUGGGCGCAAGCCUGAUCCAGCCAUGCCGCGUGUCUGAAGAAGGCCUUCGGGUUGUAAAGGACUUUUGUCAGGGAAGCGGUACCUGAAGAAUAAGCACCGGCUAACUACGUGCCAGCAGCCGCGGUAAUUC
rnacentral:rRNA from 1 species